rnacentral:rRNA from 1 species
CCCUUAGAUGUCCGGGGCCGCACGCGCGCUACACUGAAGGAAUCAGCGUGGCUUUCUCCCUGACCCGAAAGGGUUGGGAAACCCGUUGAAUCUCCUUCGUGAUAGGGAUUGGGGCUUGAAAUUGUUCCCCAUGAACGAGGAAUUCCCAGUAAGCGCGAGUCAUAAGCUCGCGUUGAUUACGUCCCUGCCCUUUGUACACACCGCCCGUCGCUACUACCGAUUGAACGGUUUAGUGAGGGCCUCGGAUUGGUCUCGGCCCGCUCUUUACCGGGCGUCGCCGUUGGUCGAGAAGACGCUCGAACUUGAUCGUUUAGAGGAAGUAAAAGUCGUAACA